rnacentral:rRNA from 1 species
CCUACGGGGGGCUGCAGUGGGGAAUAUUGGACAAUGGGGGCAACCCUGAUCCAGCCAUGCCGCGUGUGUGAAGAAGGCCCUCGGGUUGUAAAGCACUUUCAGUGAGGAAGAACGCCUGGUGGUUAAUACCCAUCAGGAAAGACAUCACUCACAGAAGAAGCACCGGCUAACUCCGUGCCGGCAGCCGCGGUAAUACGGAGGGUGCGAGCGUUAAUCGGAAUUACUGGGCGUAAAGCGCGCGUAGGUGGCUUGAUAAGCCGGUUGUGAAAGCCCCGGGCUCAACCUGGGAACGGCAUCCGGAACUGUCAAGCUAGAGUGCAGGAGAGGAAGGUAGAAUUCCCGGUGUAGCGGUGAAAUGCGUAGAGAUCGGGAGGAAUACCAGUGGCGAAGGCGGCCUUCUGGACUGACACUGACACUGAGGUGCGAAAGCGUGGGUAGCAAACAGGAUUAGAUACCCCAGUAGUC